rnacentral:rRNA from 1 species
CCUACGGGUGGCUGCAGUGGGGAAUAUUGGACAAUGGGGGCAACCCUGAUCCAGCCAUGCCGCGUGUGUGAAGAAGGCCCUCGGGUUGUAAAGCACUUUCAGUGAGGAAGAACGCCUGGUGGUUAAUACCCAUCAGGAAAGACAUCACUCACAGAAGAAGCACCGGCUAACUCCGUGCCAGCAGCCGCGGUAAUACGGAGGGUGCGAGCGUUAAUCGGAAUUACUGGGCGUAAAGCGCGCGUAGGUGGCUUGAUAAGCCGGUUGUGAAAGCCCCGGGCUCAACCUGGGAACGGCAUCCGGAACUGUCAAGCUAGAGUGCAGGAGAGGAAGGUAGAAUUCCCGGUGUAGCGGUGAAAUGCGUAGAGAUCGGGAGGAAUACCAGUGGCGAAGGCGGCCUUCUGGACUGACACUGAUACUGAGGUGCGAAAGCGUGGGUAGCAAACAGGAUUAGAUACCCGGGUAGUC